rfam:Oryza rufipogon genomic scaffold, chr07
UUUAUGUGCAACCAUAAGUUUCUGUACCCAACUUUAAUUAUCCGUCUUAUUUAAAAUUUUUUAUAAUUAGUAUUUUUAUUGUUAUGAGAUGAUUAAACUUUAAUAAUACUUUAUACGUGACUUAUGUUUUUAAAUUUUUUUAAAUAAAAUGGACGGUUAAAGUUGCGCACGAAAAAUUAUGGCUGCACUUAGA